AUUGAACGCUGGCGGCAGGCCUAACACAUGCAAGUCGAACGGUAACAGGAAGUAGCUUGCUACUUUGCUGACGAGUGGCGGACGGGUGAGUAAUGUCUGGGGAUCUGCCUGAUGGAGGGGGAUAACUACUGGAAACGGUAGCUGAUACCGCAUAAUGUCGCAAGACCAAAGCGGGGGACUUUCGGGCCUCGCACCAUCAGAUGAACCCAGAUGGGAUUAGCUAGUAGGUAGGGUAAUGGCUUACCUAGGCGACGAUCCCUAGCUGGUCUGAGAGGAUGACCAGCCACACUGGAACUGAGACACGGUCCAGACUCCUACGGGAGGCAGCAGUGGGGAAUAUUGCACAAUGGGCGCAAGCCUGAUGCAGCCAUGCCGCGUGUAUGAAGAAGGCCUUCGGGUUGUAAAGUACUUUCAGUCAGGAGGAAGGGUGUGAAAUUAAUACUUUCAUGCAUUGACGUUACUGACAGAAGAAGCACCGGCUAACUCCGUGCCAGCCGCCGCGGUAA
rnacentral:rRNA from 1 species